rnacentral:rRNA from 1 species
GACGUAGGGCGCGAGCGUUGUCCGGAUUUAUUGGGCGUAAAGAGCUCGUAGGCGGCUUGUCGCGUCGACUGUGAAAUCCCGCGGCUCAACUGCGGGUCUGCAGCCGAUACGGGCAGGCUAGAGUUCGGUAGGGGAGACUGGAAUUCCUGGUGUAGCGGUGAAAUGCGCAGAUAUCAGGAGGAACACCGGUGGCGAAGGCGGGUCUCUGGGCCGAUACUGACGUGAGGAGCGAAAGCGUGGGGAGCGAACAGG